rnacentral:rRNA from 1 species
CCUACGGGGGGCUGCAGUGGGGAAUAUUGCACAAUGGGCGCAAGCCUGAUGCAGCCAUGCCGCGUGUGUGAAGAAGGCCUUCGGGUUGUAAAGCACUUUCAGCGGGGAGGAAGGCGUUAAGGUUAAUAACCUUGUCGAUUGACGUUACCCGCAGAAGAAGCACCGGCUAACUCCGUGCCAGCAGCCGCGGUAAUACGGAGGGUGCAAGCGUUAAUCGGAAUUACUGGGCGUAAAGCGCACGCAGGCGGUCUGUCAAGUCGGAUGUGAAAUCCCCGGGCUCAACCUGGGAACUGCAUUCGAAACUGGCAGGCUAGAGUCUUGUAAAGGGGGGUAGAAUUCCAAGUGUAGCGGUGAAAUGCGUAGAGAUCUGGAGGAAUACCGGUGGCGAAGGCAGCCCCCUGGACAAAGACUGACGCUCAGGUGCGAAAGCGUGGGGAGCAAACAGGAUUAGAUACCCCGGUAGUC